CCUUGAUUAAACUAACUGGAUAUUUAUGAAGCGGACGGACGGAAUAAAAUACGCAAAAAAAAAAAAAUAUUUAAAUAAAAGGUGCCACAGCGACACCAAACUCACAUCGGCCGCCUAGCUUGAGAGCACGGACCAUACCAGACGUGGACCAGCGACAUAAUGUGCCCAGGGCAGAUGAACUGGUAAGUGUCAAAUAAAUAAUACGCCACGGCGUAUUCUUUAUUACUCCUCUCAGCCCCCUACUUGCACUCACCACGGCAUCCCUCGCUCCAUGUCCAAGAUGCCAUAGCGAUAGAAAGACGGGUCGGCCCGACAUACACCGAGGUCGUCAAGAGGCUCUACCGUGGUUGAGUGAUCUCCUGGGGCCGGCAUCGAAAGAUGACAAUCUCUCGUCCGGACCAAAACGCCUUCCGCCGCAACUCGCGCUCCAUGUCCAAGAUGCCAUAGUGAUAGAAAGACGGGUCACCCACUGCGAGGUUGACAGCGAGCUCUCCGGCGGUCGAGGCACCCCAGAUAGGCAGAGAGAAAUGGCACUACCUCGUUCUAACCCCUGUGCACAUUACACUACUGGAACACUCCUGGCGGCCCCGCACUCGCGACUGCGUAAGACCACGAGUUUCGUCGCUCUCAGUCCCCGACGGAUAAUUCAGGUAAGUAUAAGGUAAGUAUAAAGUUCCAAUUCUCUAGGUCCAUUUACUCAUCGUACCCACACACACGUCCUUCACCGCCUGUUGACCAUGGGAUGUAACUUGCAAGGAAUUUUAUGGAAGCAAUUCAAAUGACCAUCUAUAGACGGUUCCGCCUAAACUGCCGCCCAAGGCGAACAAAAAAAAAAUCUAGGUUUAAUCCAGAAACUGCGUGCCUGCCAAAACUAAAGCUAAGUAUCCUUAAAUCUAAAAUUAAAAGAUAAUUCAAAUUCUAAUUCAUUUUUCGUUUAUCCUAUAGCUUCCUACACUAAUGGCUUAAACCUAUUGACCUUGGACCCAUGUGAUGGAAUCCAACUUAUAACUAAAACGGUAUGAAAUCCAAAAUUCACAAACCAGGUAGAAAGGGUAGUGCAUAUAUCCUAACAUAAGGUGGGGAACAAGUGAGAGAAGAGCAAAUCCAAGCGGAUAAGCGAAGCAUUCUAAGUUUCCAAAUAGGACUUCUCCAAACGUAUCCGGAAACUGCCUUCUCUGCCGUAAUGUAUUGUAUGACCCUGAGAUGCUGUAGUAUAUUGGUAUUACGUUUGCUACCUACGGACAUAACCACACGGCUGUUGUUGAACACAUAAAGAUAAACCCAACAACGUCUCAUGUGCUUUGGCUCAUGGGUAUGAUUGUAUUAAGCGGACGGACAGGCCCGUCGCAAACGAAAUGCGGAUACCAAAAUCCUUAAGCUUCGUGACUUACGGGAGUUAAAGAUUAGUAAAACACCGUGCCACAUCCUGCAUCUAACCAGCUUCCAGUCACCACCAGUUUGGCACGCGAUCCAAGCUUUUGAAAACUUACGAUCGGGACUCAAUCCGGUAACCGAAAUCCGAUCAGUUGCUGGCUGUGGCGAUAAAAUGAUGCGGUCAACCCGAUAACUCGGGCCCCAUGUUGCGGGCGCCAUUCUUGUCGUGGACCCCGGAGGGUCCGAACUAUCUCAGCGGAGAAAGGGGACAUAGUGUGCUGGCGAGCGCUGGCUGUUGGCGUUAGAGCUCCGGCUGUGGCUCAGUCUGGGGCGCGGUUCUUGCCAACACACCAUGUCCAGAGACAGGUGACAAAAAAAAUUCAAAUUUCAAACCAGCUCUGGAUGUAAAUGAAAAACACAGGGUCCCACUUAUGUUAAGGCAGGCAUGUCUUUCGCCUUCUUACUCGCACCUUCCGCUAUGGAUUCGCUCUUCAGGGGGCACUGAGACAUCCUACAGUGCCCUGGACGGCCCACCCCAACCAUGGUAUCCGUUGUCCAACAGUUUUGGAUACCCCAGAAUCGGUCUCCCUUAUCCCCCCUUACAGCUUGGUGCACUACCCCCUUCUUACCUUAGAUAACUACUCCUCCAUUGUGAAAUGAAAACUAGGCAAAGGCGAAUUUCAUUUCAAACGUUAUAAACGGUAUGUAUUUAUUAAGCCGAAUCAAAAAUUCAUUGCCAGACAAAGUUCAAUCAAACGAAAAAAAAAGCAAAGAAAACAAAACAAGGAAUUGUAUAGUGGCAAUUAAAAAAACUUCGUUUAUAUAAACUCCUCUCCUUCAAAGAGAAAAAUAGUAAUAAAAUUCUCCUUCCUCCACAGGUGUAUUGGGUCUUCUCAUGGUGUCUGGCCUUCCUUCAGGGUCGUCUCUCCUAACUGGAGUCAGUGCUGGAGCGGCUGAGCAGUGCCCACGCUUUCCUCUUGUCUGUCCGUCCGUCUGGUUGUGGUAAGUAUGUGUAUUCCGGCUGUAUUGUAUUUCCCGUAAAUAAAAGCUUUGGCUUUUUUUUU